rnacentral:rRNA from 1 species
GUAGUCUCGCACAGAUGCAUAUCAAUAAGCGGAGGAAAGAUCGAGCUGUACCUACGCUUAGGAUGUUGACGCGCGUGUGUGCGUGAGUCUAUACAUGACUCUGUGCAUAUCAAUAAGCGGAGGAAAAGAAACUAACAAGGAUUCCCCUAGUAACGGCGAGUGAAGCGGGAAGAGCUCAAAUUUGAAAUCUUAAAGGGUUUCCCUUUACGAAUUGUAGUUUAAAGAAGUGUUUUCUGUUGAGGUUUUGGUAAAAGUUCUUUGGAAUAGGACAUCAUAGAGGGUGAGAAUCCCGUAUUUGACCUUUACUUUCAACUUUGUGAUACACUUUCAAAGAGUCGGAUUGUUUGGGAAUGCAGUCCAAAAUGGGUGGUAAAUUUCAUCUAAAGCUAAAUAUUGGCGAGAGACCGAUAGCGAACAAGUACCGUGAGGGAAAGAUGAAAAGAACUUUGAAAAGAGAGUUAAACAGUACGUGAAAUUGUCAAAAGGUAAGCGUUUGACACCAGUGUUGUUUUUCUGAAAAUCAAUUAAAGAACUGUUUAUGCUAAGUUGUUUAGACUUUAUCAGCUAACUGUUUAGUUUUGAGCUUUUCUUUAAUGCACUUUUCAGUUAACAAGUCAACAUCAAUUUCUUUUGCUGUAAAAAAGCUUGAGGAAGGUGGCUUGAGAUUCGUCUUAAGUGUUUAUAGCCUCUUGCCUAUGCAGUCGGAGAGAUUGAGGUCUGCAGCGUAGAUCCUUCGGGGCUAAAUGCAUUUGUGCUAAGUUAUAGCAUUUUAUAGACAACUUGUUGACUAUGAUUUGUCUUGUAGCUUACUCGCUUAUGUUAUUUUACCUACGCUUAGGAUGUUGACGCGCGUGUGUGCGUG